UACAGGGAAUGCUAUAGCUCAAUGCACUUGAUUCCCCCAGUUGCUAGACGCAUGGCUGCUGAUGGCUCAUUCUGAUACCCUCCCAGGAAUGGCCAUCAUCAACCGUUCCAGUGCCUCUCCCUCAGCUCACACCUAUGCCUGCAGGAGAGUUCCUUUUAACCAACUGAUGGAAGAAGACAAAUGCCAAACUAGGUUCACGGUUGGGUCAACUCUACAUGUGAGUGAAAACCAAAAAUGACUGCUGCUGCAAAACAGCUCCACUCGGGAAAGGCCCUAAAAGACGGUGGUGAAAAAAAAUCUCCCCAGUGGGAAGAACUCCAGGUGCUGCAUUUUAUUAUCCACUUUGUGUGGAAAGAGAAGUGGCUUGAAAAAAGGUUAUUUAUGGAUUAAUCAGUAGCAGUAAACAGCUUGUCUGGUUGGUCCAAAGCCUAGAAGGAAAAUAUCUGGAAGGUCAAGAACAAGAGAGUCUGGAGAAGAAGGAUAAGGAUUGAUUUAUGAGAGUGAGACCAAAAUGUGAAUAAUUUGCAUCAUGGGUAAAGCCCAUCAGAAAGUAUCCACAAUAGAAGAGGCACUAAACAACCCAACCGACAGAAUGACUCAGCCAGCUGACAUCGGUUACCAGCUACUCCAGUAACAGCACAACAGAAACAUGAGCAGAGUAGCCAUGGUGGCAGGUAUAGAAACUGUGCACAGGCUAACACAUGGGUUUACACACUCUGGGAUGAUUGCCCACCCUCUCACUGACAAAUGUUCCGCCUGCCAACAUCAGAGACCCAACACUGAAAUCCCAAUACGACUAGGAGAAUAGCCAGUCACUUGGUGACAAGUCAGCUACACUGGACUCUUUGCACCCUGGAAUGAGCAACAAUCCAUUUGGACUAGAACUGAUACAAAUUCCAGGUAUGGGUUGCCUUCCCUAACCACAGAGCCUCAGUAAGGACCACUGUCAGAGGGCUAAAGGAGCANGUGAUCCACCAACAUAACAUCAUAUGAGAUGGAAGGACUCAUUACGUGGUAGAAGAGGUAUGGCGGUGGGCAAACGACCACAGGAUCCACUGGUUCUUCAACACACUGCAUCCCUCAGAAACUGCCAGCCUAACACAGCAAGGGUGCCUUCUUGAAGGUGCAGCUGAGGUACCAGGUUGGAGACAACACCUUGUAAGGAUGGACUGCCAUCCUCCAGAGCACAGUGUCUGCCCUGAAUAAAAAGUAACUACAGGGCACCAUGUUUCCAAUAGACAGACUACAAGGUCUUGGAAUCGAGGCUUGGAAGAAGGAAUGGCCCCACUUACUAUCAUUCCCAUUUCUCCUCCCCAGAAAUUUGUGCUUUCUAACAUUCCAACAUUAGCUUCUUCAGGUCUAGAGGAGUCUGUUACCAGAAUCAGAAAGUUCCUACCAGGGGGUAUAACGUGAAUCCCAUUAACCUUUAAGUUAUGGCUGCUGCCUAGUGCUUCAGUGACCUUGUGCCAAGAGAACUGUUGUCAAAGAACGGAAUCAACACACUGUCAGGAAUAAUUAUCCUAAUUAUAAAGAGGACGUAGAACUGCAGUGAAUGAGACAAGGAAGAAUCGACUUGGCACCUAGCUGAUCCACUGGGCAUCUCCUGUAACUCUCUUAUUCAACGUUCUCAUUAAAUAGAUGGGGAAAGUAGCCAAAGCCUAAGAAGGACGUGACUGCCAGAUGAUCAGACCCCUCAAAGGAGAUGGUCUGAGUUACCCUUCCAGGUAAGUCACCUGAACUAACAAAAAAAGUGCUACAGGAGGGGAAUCCAGCAUUGACAGUAGGGAGGGAGGGAGAUGGUAUAAGAAUUAGCUGCAGUGCCAAGUCCAGCUAAACAGGGGAGUUUUAUCAUUUCAUCCCACUACUAUUCCUCUUGUAAGUUUCCCCAGGCUAAGAGGCAAAACUGAAUCCUGGCAGGGGCUGCUCCCAUUAUCUGGAGACCUUCUUAGCAGAAGUGAAAGGAUCUGAUAUCUCAAGUGGUGGGUUGUAUGUUGAGGUAUCCACAUAUCCCCUUUGGUACUGAGGAAUUAAUUCCAGUACCUGCCAAGAGCAUUACCUGCUGACUCAUCUCUCUUUUAGAAUUAUCUUCUACUAAAGAGUUGCCUUAACCCUAUAUAUUCGUCCCUGGGGUAACCUGCCUCCAUUGAUUAAUCAAUGUAAGGACACAAAAGCCCAUCUCUAGUCCCUUAAUUUUGGACAAGUCUGAAGCUCCAGAACCCCUUAUGGGAUCACCUGAAGUCUUCGUGGCAAAUGCCCUUGAGUUCAAAUUUUUCUUCUACCCAAUCCUACCUCCCUUACUUCUUCUCAUGAGAAUUAUUGCCAAGGGCACUUCCCAAUAAACUGGCUGCAUACGCAUCUCCAUCUACGAGUCUGUUUUCCAGGGAAACCAGCUUAAAACAGAUGAGGAGUUCACUAUAGGCUGAGGUGUUUCUAAGACAUUUAGAUGGGGAUUUCUAACAGAAAUUUGGAUACUGAAUGUCAAAAUUCCAAAAAGAUAUUAGGACUAAAGAAACAUAUUUGGAAGUUACCUGCAAAGAAGUGAAAGCUGAAACUAUGAAAUUAGACAAGACUCUCUGUGUGAGAAUACUCAGGGUAGCAAAAGUAGUAGACUGAGACUGGAAUCUGAGGAAAACUCUAGAAAAGAGGAAAAGGGGAUAAGAAGAACUGAGAGAGAGAGAGAAUCUAAGGAAGAAAAGGGCUGAGAGAUGAAGUAAGUCAUCUGGAGGUCACUGAUGAUUUGGGUUAGAGCCGUGUGGGGCUAGGAACCUGUGUGAGGAGCCAAGGAAUGAAUGGGGGUGAGAAGGUGGUGAUGGUGGGUACAGACCAGGGGUCAGCGAUUCAAAUACUCACCUGGGGAGGACAGGAGGGGUACAUGAGAAAACUAAGAGCAUUCAGUUAUGUGGUCCAGACCCACAUGUGCCAGAUACUAUCACAGGCAUCGGGCUUUUCAGCAGUGUUGGGAGGGAAGAGAGUGCAGGAAAAAGGACAGUUUGAGAACUCCCUGAAAAUGAAACAAAUAAGACAGAGAAAUGGAGCAAAAAAAAAAAAAAAGGAGCAAAAGUGAAGGGAGGGAUCCUGGAAGACUUCUCUGAAGAGGUGAUAUUGAAAUUCAUCCCUGUAUAAUAAAAGGUCAACUAUGCAAAUAUUCGAGGAAACAGCAAAGCCAAAGGAAAGGAGUAAAUGCAAAGAUCCUGAAGCAGGGUAAGCUUGGUGUAUUGGAGUGACAAAGAGGACCACGGCUGGGAACUGUCAGCAGGUGGAGUAGGAACGCACAACAGGAGCCCGCCUCACUCAGGCCAGUUGUUCAUGGCGAAGAUCACGGCAGUGUGUGCCUUAGAAGCCAAGCAUUCAGAGAGCCACAGGUCAAGCACAAGAACACAUGUGAGAUGAGAGAAAGUGGGGGGACCAGGGCAGAGCAGGGAGCGCUUGUCUAACUUCAAGGGGAUGUGACUGGUCAACUGCAUUUACUCAGCUCCAUCUAAGACUAUGGCCUCAGUUUCCCAAUCUCCCAAUUAAAAAAAAAAAAAAAAA
ensembl:lncRNA